rnacentral:lncRNA from 1 species
GGGAGGAAACCUUGGUGGUUUUCAACCUUGCCUCUACACCUUGGAGACUCCUGAGGACCUCUGAAAGCCCAGAUGAUCAGAACCCAAUCAUCUUGAACCAAGUUUGAGAUCAAUAGAUAGAACUUAGACUACGCGUAUGCAGAGAGUCCAAGGUUCUGACCUAGGUUUGUCACCAACUUGGUGGGUGAUGUCUCCACACCCCAUGGACUAGCCCAGUGGGAAAGGACUUCCUGUCCCAUGUGUUAGUCUGGGGACUGAGGAUGUGGCUCAGCAGAAGAGAACUUGCCUAUUACGUGCUAGCUCCCGAGUUCAACCCCCAGCAUUGCCAGAAAACAAAACCCAACCCAACCCACACCACACGUCAGUCUGAUUGAUGGGUAGCUGUGUCGCUGCCUGGGUCCCACUGGAGAAGGAUGCCGAGAGGCUGGGUUCCACAGGAAGGCUCCUCGAUGAACUGAUGAUACCUGCCCCGAGUGCAGACAGAGGGUGUGGGCCCAACAUCCACCCAGAUCACAAGCCAACUGGUGACAGCCCUGGGGCCGGGUGCCAUCGCCCAGGGAAGGUGGAGAUGGGCCAGGAAGUGGGCCAACAGAGGAAGUCUACUCAAAAGUUUUCCAAGAAAGGGCUCUGGGAUCCCCGCACGCUGCAGCCCUGGACAUUUCCCCGUGUAUGGUCCGAAUCUCCUCCAGGGGAAAGGAGGAGAAUGCACUGGAACAAGCACAGGCCUCUGUGCCAGACCAGCUCGAUUGGAGC